ACGGAAGGCAGCAGUGGGGAAUAUUGCACAAUGGGCGCAAGCCUGAUGCAGCCAUGCCGCGUGUAUGAAGAAGGCCUUCGGGUUGUAAAGUACUUUCAGUCGUGAGGAAGGUGUUAAGGUUAAUAACCUUAGCAAUUGACGUUAGCGACAGAAGAAGCACCGGCUAACUCCGUGCCAGCAGCCGCGGUAAUACGGAGGGUGCGAGCGUUAAUCGGAAUUACUGGGCGUAAAGGGCACGCAGGCGGUUAAUUAAGUUGGAUGUGAAAUCCCCGGGCUUAACCUGGGAAUGGCAUUCAAGACUGGUUAGCUAGAGUCUUGUAGAGGGGGUAGAAUUCCAUGUGUAGCGGUGAAAUGCGUAGAGAUGUGGAGGAAUACCGGUGGCGAAGGCGGCCCCUGGACAAAGACUGACGCUCAUGUGCGAAAGCGUGGGGAGCAAACAGGGAUUAGAUACCCGU
rnacentral:rRNA from 1 species